ACUCGUGAAAAUAAACGAAUACGCUUUAUCACUCAAGAGUUUUUUCACGAAGUGACGGAAGGCAAAUUUUUACAGUUUGGAACAGCCGAAGAUCAUGAAAUGAUGCAGUAUAUACAGUAAGCAAUUGUUUCAGAGAACAAAUUAGGGAAGUCCUGGAACCAGUAAACUCGCUAUUUAACAAUGAUGAUGGUCAGAUACAAUUUCAGGUUGAAUCCAGGAGCCAACAUGCUUGUCAGGUGGGUCAUUGAUAAUUCCCUGAGCACCACAGAUGUGAUAUGAUUUGGUGACAUGACAGUUGAAUUGGUAGUGACUGGAUUUUAACAGUGUGCCCUGGUUUUGAAUUGUUGAAGUAACCAAACUAGAAACAUCUUCUGAGAACUCUGACUGUGAUUCUGAUGAUGAAACUCUGUCUACACUUGUGAAAAGUAUGAAGGAAGUGGCUCUGCCUCAUGGCCUUAAGGCUCUCACUUAACUUUUCUUUAGUUUCCAGCUGGGUAACUAAUGCCAGUUUUAACUUUCUUGUGAUUUUGACUUCAACAUAAGUUUAGUUUUAAUUUUGGUAGGAUUUUCAAAUCUAGUUUAAUUUUUAUAGCAGUGUAUUAUAUGAAGAAACCAUGCUGCUUGAACUAGUCUGUGCUCUUACAGUGAUAUAAUUAUGAACUCCUUCAAAUAUGUUUUAUAUAUACAGUCAAAUAUAAAGUUCAGAAUAGUCAUUUAUCUGCUAUCCUUAUCACAUGUUUUAAUUGCUUAUGAAUACACAUCGUCCACAUAUGGAUGCAGAAUAAUUACCCUUCUUCGUUCAUUUUUUGGGCAGGUUUUCAUUUUGCUUGGUGCCAUCUUGGUUUAUGCAGUUUUACAGCUGAUGUGUCAUCAUUUUAUUCCAGAAUUUUCUAAUGAAUGAUAUUCAGGAAAGAAAUAAUACAUGAUUAUUUUUAGCAGACAUUUUACGUUAGCUUGAGGUUAAAGAUACACUGCAGCACAUGUUUGUCUGUAUAUUUGUAGUAAGAAUUUAACUCAUUUGUACAUGAUCCCACUAAUUCAAAGAUGUUAUUUGCUAAAAUCGUGACAAUUUAUUGUAAAGUUUUCAGAGUUGGAACUAAGGUGUAUUUUAAUGUAUCUUUCUGUUUUUGGACUCGGGCAAUAAUUUGCUAUUAAAAAAACAAGUGUUUGAUUGGAAAAUGUAUUGAUGAGUGUAUUUAGCCAAUAACUUGAGAAUGAUGGAAAAAAUACAAAUUUACUUAGUCAUUCGUAUUUUUAUUACUGCAUUUUUUUUGUUGCUUUUGACGCUGUCCGGGAUUUUGAUUAUAAAUUUGUUAUUAAAUGAUCCUGUUUGAUAUGAAGUUAAAUAAUUGAUUUCAAAUUAUAUUUCCUUGUUUGAGUUUCAUUAGUUCAUACAUGUAAUUGUUUAUUCAAAGGUUUACUUGUUGUCUUUUACCACUAGUAGACUUUAGUACUUGACAGUGUAAAAAGAUGAAAUAACUCUCAAGGCAACUGUGUCGACUGAUUUAAUUAUGACAUUCUUUUUUUUUUAAGUGUAGUGAAUGUAAUAAGUAAUGGUGAUUAUGUUACUUCUAUUGUGAUGGAAAAGAAAUAUACCAUUUAACUUGAAUAUGUGUAUGUCAAUACAAACAAACAUACAGAAUACAACUUUCCUGCACCACUAGCAUUGAUUAUAUUCCAGUAUUCUUGUGAUGGAAAAUUUAUUCAUUUGACAUUGGAAUUUUUUUUAAUGUAGAGUAACUUAUUGAAUUUGGUACUUGUUAGCAAUUCUGUAUUUCAAAAAUGUGGCAUUCACAGACUAGGAUUGCUGAUUGUGUUAAGCAGGGCAUGAUAUACAAAUAAAUAUAUUGUUGCAUAUAUUCAAGUUUUAUUUAAUGUAUAAAAUGACAAAAUUCUGUCAAUGUGUACCUGAUAAUUCACUUCUUAUACAUUUCACAGUGCAAUAUUAGAUUCAUUAUAAUAAUUAUUAAUGUCGUUGUGUUUGUCACUAGCGAUUAUGGUCCGAUAAUUUAUUGAAUUAAAAAUAUAUUUCCAUUUUUAACAUUGUAUGAAAUUGAUAUUUUAAUGAAUCUAUUAAGCAUAACCAUUAUCAUAAUGAUUGAUAUGAAAAAAAGUUAUAUUUUACUUGUCUAUUUCUCACUUGCUGCUAUGGUUUCAUAUGUUAUAAAAUUAAAAGAGUUCUUCUAAAUUU